rnacentral:rRNA from 1 species
GACGAACGCUGGCGGCGUGCCUAAUACAUGCAAGUAGAACGCACAGUUUAUACCGUAGCUUGCUACACCAUAGACUGUGAGUUGCGAACGGGUGAGUAACGCGUAGGUAACCUGCCUGGUAGCGGGGGAUAACUAUUGGAAACGAUAGCUAAUACCGCAUAAUAUUAAUUAUUGCAUGAUAAUUAAUUGAAAGGUGCAAUUGCACCACUACCAGAUGGACCUGCGUUGUAUUAGCUAGUAGGUGAGGUAACGGCUCACCUAGGCGACGAUAAAUAGCCGAACUGAGAGGGUGAUCGGCCACACUGGGACUGAGACACGGCCCAGACUCCUACGGGAGGCAGCAGUAGGGAAUCUUCGGCAAUGGACGAAAGUCUGACCGAGCAACACCGCGUGAGUGAAGAAGGUUUUCGGAUCGUAAAGCUCUGUUGUAAGAGAAGAACGGGUGUGAGAGUGGAAAGUUCACACUGUGACGGUAUCUUACCAGAAAGGGACGGCUAACUACGUG